rnacentral:rRNA from 1 species
UAAUUGUGGUAAAAUUAAACUUUAUUUUUUAUAUUUUUCUUUUUUUUGGUAGAAUGAGAAAGGUUUUAUAUUUUUUUGUUUAAUUUGUAAGAUUUAAUAAGCGAACCAGAUUAGUACCUGGUUAGAUAAAAUUUAAAAGUGCAGGAGUAAAGUUAUAUUUAAACUGUAAAGAUAUUGGCAGGUCUCUUAAAUUAUCUUUGGAGGUUGGGUAAUAAUUGAGAACCCUCAUUUUCAGCUUUUUUUUUUGGCGCAUGUAUGAUCGUUUAUUUUAUUCUUAAAGAUUGUAAUUAGAAAUAAUUCUUUAAAAAAAUAGAUAAAUACCUGGUUUAUAAAAAAGUUUUAAUCUGACCUACAAUAUUUUAUAUUUUGGAUUUAUUUUUUUGAGAAUUUAAUGAAAUUGUAAAAGACAGUAAAUUAAUUUUGAUAUUUAAUUGAAGUUUAUCUAGAGACGGUACAAAUCAU